UCGUUCUCCAGAUUUUUUUAAUCCCCUCCACUUGUUCUCGUUCUCAGAACUUCGUCCUCUCCGUUCUUCACACGUUCCUUACUCUGUCCCCUUCGUUCUUCACGCGUUCCUUUCUCCAUUCAUCCCCAUCACCAUCCAACGCUGCAGGCAGUAACAGAACUCGUCCCCAACGCUUGCUAACGAUCGAUUUACAAUGGACACGAUCGAUCUACAACGAAGCUGCCACUAGUAGAACAACCGGAAACGAACAAACGUUCCCUCUAUUUGAGUCAUCGUUAAAGUCCCGUUUAACUAUCUAUAUCUCUCAUUCAUACAUAAUCAAUAUUUUGUAUCAAUUUUUGUCAAAUAAUUAAAAAAAAUUUGUUAUAGGAAUAAUGAUAAUUCUGUAAAAAAAAUAAUUAAUUACGUGAUUUGUGAUAAUUUUUGUGUGAUAAGUUAAUUUGGGAAAUAUUGUAUUUGUGAUAAUUUUUGACUUUGAAAUGCACUGAAUUUUUGCAUUUUUCCUUAUGGCCGCUUUUUUUUUUGUUGUUGUUGUUGAAAUUGAACAAAUGCAGGGUUGGAAAUGCAGAUAUUGGUUGUGUGAUAAACAACUAAAAGAGAUGCGGGAUGCAGAGAGAGAGAGAAGACAGGAAACUGAUUGUUACAUGCAGAUAUUGGCUCACGUUAAAUGCACAGCUAAAAGAGAUACGAGAGAUGCACAGAGAGAGAGAAGACAAGAAACUGAUUGUUAAAUGCAAAUUUUUUUUUAAAUUUAUUGUUAAAUGCAGAUAUUGGCUCACGCGCCAUGUUAAAUUUAUUUUUUUAAAUUAAUUGUGGGUCCAUGACUGAAUUUACG
rnacentral:lncRNA from 1 species